CACGUAGGGCGCAAGCGUUGUCCGGAAUUAUUGGGCGUAAAGAGCUCGUAGGCGGCUUGUCACGUCGGUUGUGAAAGCCCGGGGCUUAACCCCGGGUCUGCAGUCGAUACGGGCAGGCUAGAGUGUGGUAGGGGAGAUCGGAAUUCCUGGUGUAGCGGUGAAAUGCGCAGAUAUCAGGAGGAACACCGGUGGCGAAGGCGGGUCUCUGGGCCGAUACUGACGCUGAGGAGCGAAAGCGUGGGGAGCGAACAGG
rnacentral:rRNA from 1 species